CUUCUAAAGUGCCGACAUUACAGGCGUGCGUCACUGAGCCUGACUGGACAUUGUAAAAUAUCAGCCCAGUGAAGGGGCACAGAUGCCAAAUGAACACCCAGGUUUUUUUUGCUACUGCAAAAGCUAUAACGUUACACUCCUAGGAGUUAUCUGGUUUUACUGUGCUAGAAAAUAUUUUUCUGUUGAAGUAGAAUUACAUACCAGGAGAGGUUAAAUGUAGGCAGAGAUUAAAUGCCCGUUAUCUACCAAUUCAACAGUGCAGUUUGGCUGGUCAAAAAAGCUGGAGGUAGGGACUGGGCUUGAUGCCUGACUGUAGAUAACAAUGACUAAAUAAAGAGGUGGUUGUAUAAUAGUUACUGUACUGAUUGAAGCUACUAUUUACACUUGGUAUGUUACUCUAGGUCUGCUAUUGCCUCUUCUUCCUGAUUCUUUAAGAAGUAGAUAAAGAGCACCUUGCUUUUACUUAAUAUGACAUGUAGUACCUCUAUUAUUCUGUUGCAGGGAUAUUUGAGCUCACUAGAAAUAGGGUCUUGAUCCCUAGCACAAUGAGAACAGCUCAUUGAGAUUCAAGUAUUUUAUUAAAUUUAUGACAUCUUAAUCAUGGCUCCAACUAAGAAAGUGACUUUUACUGUCCUGAAUAGCAUACAGAAAAUGCUAUUCACAGUCAGCUGGACCUUGAGUCAGAAGACAGUCAACAGCCCCACUUCCCAAAUGUCUUUCUUGAAGGGUACUUGGGCAGCAGUCCAAAGAGCUACUUUACAACAGCCAAAGACACGUUGCUAACCUUAUAACUAUAAGCUACAAAGAAAGAGCCCUAACGCCUGGUUUGCCUCUUUGGAUACAGUGAAUCACACAUACACAUUUUAUUAAAGCACUUGUGAUACUUCACUGGACAACCAGGCCGAUUUAAACACCUCCUCCACCCCACCCUGUAGUAAAAUGCCUUGGAAGCUGUCUAGGGCGCAUUAACACAAUCUCUGGCCUUAAGCCCCUUAUCCCCUUCAGACCCUGAGAAGUUACAUGUGUUCAUGACUGAUUGCCUUGGUUCAUUCUGUCCUGCUGCAACAGAAUACUUAAGACUGGGUAAUUUAUAAAGAAAGGAAAUGUAUUGGCUUACAGUUGUGGAGGUUGGAAAGUCCAAGAUUGAGGGGCUAACAUCUAGUGAGGGCUUUCUUACUGCAUCAUUACACAGAGGAAGGUGAGAGGGCAAGAGGGGUCAAGAAAUCGAGAGAGAGAAGAGAACUGAACUCUUUCUUUUGUAACAAGCCUAGUCCUUUAAUAACAAACUCACUUCCGUGAUAACAGCAUUAAUCCAUCCAUGAGGGCAGAGCCCUCAUGGCCUAAUAACCCCUCAUUAGGCUUCAACUCCUAAAAAUAUUGCAUAAGGGUUAAGUUUCCAACACAUGCUUUUUGGAAAACAUAUUUAAACCAUAGCACUGAUCUUAUAGAUUAUUGAAAUUUUUGGCAAUGAGAUUCUGCUAGUAUUUUUUGAUCUUUAAGUUUUUGCACUUUGAGACUUCCUUCCAUUGCUAAAUAUUUCAACCCUGUUUCUGAGCUCUAACAGGGAGAGACUGUCUCGCUAAAGAAAAAAUGUGACACUCUAACCUGAUAACCCAUCUCAUUCUCUCUGAACCAAAGACCUUUGAGGUGGGAAAAUGUCAAGAAAACUCCUAUGAAAUGGAAAUGGUACAUCCAAUUGGAGGCCAAAUCUGGCUCUCAAGUCCUGAGCAAAAUUCAUGAGCAAGUGGCUGUUCACAUCUGGUGGCUUGUAGGAAGAAUCCAUUGAGUGUGUUAGGACCCUUGUGUCUCUAUCCCUAACCACUUUCCUUCUUUUUUCAUCCCCACCUUGACUCCAGUAGGUGGCUGGGAAGGUUAACCUGGGUUGGAAACAACUUCAUGGACAUAAAUUUGGAUGAUUUCUGCCCUGUGAAGUCAUUUCAUGGUAAUUGCCACAAGAUGAUGCCACUGGCAACUUGAUACAGAAAGUCACCUUAAACCAGACUCAGACUGGCACCAUGUGACCCCAGGACUGAUUUUUCUGCGAGGACUCUGCAGGGCUCUUGAUUCUGAAAUACUUGCAACUUCAGGGAAAAGACACUCCCUUGGCCAGCUUCAUCCCAGCGUCUAGUUGGAGAAAGAAGACUGGACAUGCUACAUUUUUGGGCAAGAUAUUUAUCGUUUCCAAACCUAUUUCCUGAUCUAUAAAAUGGGAAUGAUAAAAGAACUCACAUCGUCAAGCUUUUGUGAGAAUUGCAACUGAUAAAUGAUAAAUGUUAUUAUGACAUAGCAAUAAAUGUCGAUU